GCCCUCUGCAGGUGAAAAGAAGUUUUUCUAUGUUCAUGCUACCGUCUUGUCUCCUUGAUCGUACACUCAUUCAGAAUUUCAUGUAUGAUUUAGGAGUUGUUUGGAUUUGACAAAAUAAUAAUGAAAUAAGACUCUUCAUCCUAGCCUCUUUUUUUUUUUUUGGUCUAAUCCGAAAUCCAGAUAAUCAAGUUUCAGCUCUAACUUGGAUCAAACCAAGACAUGCUCAGUUCGAUUACGGUUUGGUAAUCCGAAUACCAAGUUUUAAAUCCGAUAUACUGGUCUUAUUUAAAAGUACUACUUAUUCAUUCAAAAUGAGCCCCCUAUCAUCUUACGGUUCUCCUCUUCUUUUAGUCUUGCUCUCACUCUCUCUUCUCCCUCUCUAGUGUUGAAACCUAGCUUCCUCUACCCGAGUGCUGAAACCCUAGCCAUCGCCGUCAUCUCUUACUUGUGGCUCUUAUGUUGUCUUCUCUCUCUCUCUGAAACUAUAGCCAUUACCAUCGGUUGUCCACAAUAGCCCUCUCGCCUCUCGGUAUAUGUUCCUCUCUCUCUCUCUCUCUCUCUCUCUCUCUCUCUCUCUCUCUGUGAAAUUAUAGCCAUUACCUUCAGUCGUCCACAGAAGCCCUCUCACCUCUCGAUAUGUCCUCUCUCUCUCUCUCUCUCUGAAACAGUAACCAUUACCAUCAAUCGUCCACAGAAACCCUCUCAAUUCUUGGUAUGUUCUCCCCCUCUCUCUCUCUCCAAAACCCUAUCCAUUGCCAUUGGUGACUAGCAAAGACCGUCAUUUGGCUAGAUCUGGUGUUUUCUUUUUGGGUUAUAUUUCCUGCCCACUUUUUCAUUUUUGUCCACCAGUUAACAUUAGAUACCUUAGAAUGAUGAUGAUGAAUUGUUGACAGCUUGGAGGGAUGCUAGGAUAGGAUACCCUUGGAUUAAGGCUAUUAUGUUCAGGCAAAUGUGAUAUACUACAGAGGUACUAUUUGGCAUGCUUUACAAACUAUUAGCAAGGACGAGGGUAUUUCGGAUCUAUACAAGGGGCAUGGAGCAACGCACUCUUGGUAUGCUUCAGUAGUCAAUUCCAAGUAUGCAAUAAUCUGGAUGAUUGGAUUGGAUUGGAAAUAAUCUUUUCAUGCAGUAAGGUCUGCACUAUACUUAGCCAUAUUUUAGUUUAUGUAGAAUGCACUCCUUCAUGUAUUUAUGCAUUUUGUAGGUUCUAAUUGGUGAGAACUGGGUUUUAAUUGCUUAGAAGUGUAAGUAUAUAUAUGUCAGAAUGCUGCUAAACUGCCUUUUAAUUGUUUCUAGCUUAGUGGCAGAAUUUUAUAUUUUCGGAGAGCUGAACCUGGGAAUAUUUGGUAGGAAAGACUGACACCACCGGUGAUGUCUUUGGAUGUAAAGUAAAAAUGAGAUUUUUCAACUUUUUUGGGGAAAGAGAAAGUGCAGUUGUGGCCCCCACCAGUCUUCAGCUGUCAAGACUUGUUGUUUGCUAUAGAUCUGCAAAGGCUUUCCCUUCAGUUGCUACAACAGACACAUAUCCCCACCCCCUCCCCUUCUUGGCAUCAACGUCUUCACCGAGCAAGAAAUUGGGGCGAUCUAGAUUUUUUCCAAAGCUUGCAUCGGAGAAGUCGUUUUUGGUAAAGUUAGCUUAAAUUUCUCUCAUUUACUAAUUUAUUCUCUCCAACAAUGAAGUGAGUUUCAUUUAUGGGUUUUCUAUCUCCAUUUUCCCAACAAACUUGGUUCAAUUUACGCUAGAGGUUUGGGUUUUUUUUUUUUUUUUCCUUUUUCAUGUUGAUGUUUGAAGAUGUUGGUGUCUUCAUAUAUAUAUUUUUUCCUGUAGUUCCUGCCUUCUUGAUACAAAAUCUACAAGAAGCAUGACAUCACACACUGAAGUAAAGGAGACAAACUCAAUUAGCCAAAAUCUAAAUUAGAUAACAUAGAAAGAUAGAGGAGAUGAAGAAGAAUAGAUGAGGAAGAUAUAAAUUUACCCCUAAGGCUAGCAUCUACAACUACAAGGCUCCCUCAGUUGUGGUUGAUAGGCAUGGUGUCACCGUCCAUUCUAAUUUAUCAAUUUACGAUUUCAUACCCACUCAGACAAAUUUUUGUGCUUACAGUUAUUUCUCAUCUUUUUGUAUAAUGUUUACAAUUGAUACCUUCUCUGUAGUUUUGGUUUUAUUUUGGGGCAGAAUAUAUUAUUCGAAAUCUCUAAUCA